AUUAUUCUAUGCAUCGACGGUGUA
rnacentral:miRNA from 1 species